AGAUUGAACGCUGGCGGCAUGCCUAACACAUGCAAGUCGAACGGGAGUAGCAAUACUCUAGUGGCGGACGGGUGAGGAAUACGUAGGAAUUUGCCCUUAAGUGGGGGAUAACCCGGGGAAACCCGGAUUAAUACCGCAUGACCUCGAAAGAGCAAAGUGGGGGAUCGCAAGACCUCACGCUUUUGGAGAAGCCUACGUCGGAUUAGCUAGUUGGUGAGGUAAUGGCUCACCAAGGCGACGAUCCGUAACUGGUCUGAGAGGAUGAUCGA
rnacentral:rRNA from 1 species